rnacentral:rRNA from 1 species
CGGGACGGGGUGGAGUAACGCGUGGAUAACCUGCCUCACACUGGGGGGUAACAGUUAGAAAUGGCUGCUAAUACCGCAUAAGCGCACAGACCGCAUGGUACGGUGUGAAAAACCCAGGUGGUGUGAGAUGGAUCCGCGUCUGAUUAGCCAGUUGGCGGGGUAACGGCCCACCAAAGCGACGAUCAGUAGCCGACCUGAGAGGGUGACCGGCCACAUUGGGACUGAGACACGGCCCAA